rnacentral:rRNA from 1 species
CUAAGGGGAGGAAAAGAAACUAACAAGGAUUCCGUCAGUAGCGGCGAGCGAACACGGAAGAGCCCAGCGCUGAAUCCCCAGGGGCUUGCGCCCCUGCGGGAAAUGUAGCGKUAGGGAGCGUCCGCCUAMUCGGGCGCGGCUAAAAGUGAGUSCAAGUCUCCCUUGAACGGUGCCAUAAUCCAUAGAGGGUGCCAGGCCCGUACGACCACAGCCGUGUUCGAGUGGACGUCUCCUAGGAGUCGGUCUGUUUGAGAACGCAGACCUAAGCGGGUGGUGAACUCCAUCUAAGGCUAAAUACGACCACGAGACCGAUAGCGCACAAGUACCGUGAGGGAAAGGUGAAAAGAACUUUGAAGAGAGAGUUCAAGAGUACGUGAAACUGGAGAGGUGAAAACGGAAGUGGCUCGAAAUUCCGAACGGUGGUGUUCAGCCUCACCGUCGGUGGGCCCCCCGCUCAUCGGGAUCAAGGGACUGUCUGGUCCGGCGCGACGUCGCUCCUCGUGGGUGGCUCGCGUCGCCCGGUCCCCCCUGGGCGGGUGCGGUUUCUCGCCGGCCGGUGUGGGUGCACUCACUGCCGUAGUAGGAUGUCGCGACUCGUUGGGUGUCGGUCGCGAGGCCGGUCGGGGUAGCCCGGUGUCCGUGUGACGUGCACCUCUGAGGAGAAACGCACGCAGUGCGGCCCGGACCCGUCGCCGUGUCCUCUCCGUCUGCCCGACGGUAACGAAAGGGAGCCGACGCUUGCGGCCCCGCUGUCACGGCCUCGCCCCUCUUCGUAGUGGGCGAGGUAGGCGCGGGUCGUCACUCGUCGUCGGCUGUCUGCGACAUUGCCUGAUUCGGGUCCAUUUCCGACCCGUCUUGAAACACGGACCAAGGAGCGUAACACAUGCGCGAGUCGAAGGGCUGUACUAAACCCGGAGGCGAAGCGAAAGCGUAAGGGACGAUGGCUGCAUUGCGGUCGCGGUCGCAACCGACUCGUUUCGGACCUGCCUCUCGCGUAUCAGCUGGCCCGCAGUCCCGGGGCACCUCACGCGGCACUGGAUCUCUCUCGUAGUUGUCCUGUGCCGAGGCGCACCUGUGAGCGUAUGUGUUGUUACCCGAAAGAUGGUGAACUAUGCCUGGCCAGGACGAAGCCAGGGGAAACCCUGGUGGAAGUCCGUAGCGAUUCUGACGUGCAAAUCGAUCGUCGGAGCUGGGUAUAGGGGCGAAAGACUAAUCGAACCAUCUAGUAGCUGGUUCCCUCCGAAGUUUCCCUCAGGAUAGCUGGCGCUCGGAUGAGUUUCAUCCGGUAAAGCGAAUGAUUAGAGGCCUUGGGGCCGAAACGACCUCAACCUAUUCUCAAACUUUAAAUGGGUGAGACCCCCGGCUUGCUUGAUUCCGGGCGCGUCCGCGAUCCCCGUGUCACACUCAAAAGGUGUGCCGGGCCGGCGUGUCCGACUGCUUGUUGAAGCCGGGGCUCACGAAUCGAGAGUGCCAAGUGGGCCAAUUUUGGUAAGCAGAACUGGCGCUGUGGGAUGAACCAAACGCAGAGUUAAAGCGCCUAAAUCGACGCUCAUGGGAUACCAUGAAAGGUGUUGGUUGCUUAAGACAGCAGGACGGUGGCCAUGGAAGUCGGAAUCCGCUAAGGAGUGUGUAACAACUCACCUGCCGAAGCAACUAGCCCUUAAAAUGGAUGGCGCUAAAGCGUCGUGCUUAUACUCUGCCGCCGGUCGGCAAAAGUGGCCGGUAAGGCGGACGGUCUCCCUCGGAAGGGGAAGAAACCGGCCCCGAGCCUUGAAGCCCCGGUGAGUAGGAGGGUCGCUCGGGUGUGCGCAGAAGGGUCUGGGCGUGAGCCUGCCUGGAGCCGCCCGAGGUGCAGAUCUUGGUGGUAGUAGCAAAUACUCCAGAGAGGGCCCUGGAGGGCUGAUGCGGAGAAGGGUUCCGUGUGAACAGCUGUUGCACACGGGUCAGUCGAUCCUAAGCCCUAGGAGAAAUCCUACGUGCGAUGUGCGGGUGCGUACUUUAUUGUUUACAAUCUCCCGUCGCCGGGCGAAAGGGAAUCAGGUUCCUAUUCCUGAACCCAGAUGCGGUACCGUUCUACCGGGCUUGUUCCGAAGCGUGUCUUCCCCCGUCGGCAUUGCGUCCGUGCGGUGGGUAAGGUGCGUCUGAGGGCGAACUCGUCGGGGUAACCCGAACAGCCACGGAGAAGCCGGCAGGAGCCCCCGGGAGAGUUGUCUUUUCUGUAUUACCGUGCAAGUUCCCUGGAAUUCCAUUGCGGAGAGAGAGGGAAUAGCGCGGGAAGAGCACCGCACUUGCGGCGGUGUCGGGGGUGGCCUCUCGGACCAUGAAAAUUCGUGUGAGGGCUACGGAGAACAACCGAUCUGGCUCGUACCCAUAUCCGCAGCCGGUCU